CAGCAGCCGCGGUAAUACCGGCAGCACGAGUGCUGGCCGAUAUUAUUGGGCCUAAAGCGUCCGUAGCUUGCUGUGUAAGUCCAUUGGGAAAUCGACGCGCUCAACGCGUCGGCGUCCGGUGGAAACUACACAGCUUGGGGCCGAGAGACUUGACGGGUACGUCCGGGGUAGGAGUGAAAUCCCGUAAUCCUGGACGGACCACCAAUGGGGAAACCACGUCAAGAGACCGGACCCGACAGUGAGGGACGAAAGCCAGGGUCUCGAACCGGAUUAGAUACCCGGGUAGUCCUGGCUGUAAACAAUGCUCGCUAGGUAUGUCACGCGCCAUGAGCACGUGAUGUGCCGCAGUGAAGACGAUAAGCGAGCCGCCUGGGAAGUACGUCCGCAAGGAUGAAACUUAAAGGAAUUGGCGGG
rnacentral:rRNA from 1 species